GCAAACGUAGCUCAGUCUGGUAGAGCCACCGCCUAAACGACGGAUGUCACCGGUUCAAAUCCGGCCGGUUGCC
rnacentral:tRNA from 1 species